rnacentral:rRNA from 1 species
AUUGAACGCUGGCGGUAUGCUUAACACAUGCAAGUCGAACGGUAACAGGACUAGCUUGCUAGUCGCUGACGAGUGGCGGACGGGUGAGUAACGCGUAGGAAUCUGCCUAACAGCGGGGGACAACCUGGAGAAAUCCAGGCUAAUACCGCAUACGCCCUACGGGGGAAAGAAGGCCUCUUCUUGAAAGCUUUCACUGUUAGAUGAGCCUGCGUUAGAUUAGCUUGUUGGUAGGGUAAUGGCCUACCAAGGCGACGAUCUAUAGCUGGUCUGAGAGGAUGAUCAGCCACACUGGGACUGAGACACGGCCCAGACUCCUACGGGAGGCAGCAGUGGGGAAUAUUGGACAAUGGGGGCAACCCUGAUCCAGCAAUACCGCGUGUGUGAAGAAGGCCUUAGGGUUGUAAAGCACUUUCAAUUGGGAAGAAAAGCAUACGGUUAAUACCCGUGUGUCUUGACGGUACCUUUACAAGAAGCACCGGCUAACUCCG